GCCAGAUACACGCGCCCCCGCCCGCGCGACCGGCCCGCUGGCCUGGAACUCGGGGGCGCGCGCGUCUCCCGGAGCCCGUAGGCUCCAGGGCCCCGCCCGCAGCUCCGGCUGGGGAAACUGAGGCCCGGCGACCGGGCAGUCAGGACUGUACAGCGACCAAGAAAUAAAAGACGUUUUGGCCCCUGCGCCGUGAACUCCUGCAGGAGUGUGCAGAAAUUCGUUUAUGGACUAUUUCUUGAGCACCUACCAAGUGCCAGGGGUUCGUUGAGUAUAAAACAGUAAGCAAAAUAGAUUCGCCUGAUUUUGCAGAGGUUAAUCAAGUUAGUAGGCACGUUUGAAAAAAUUACUUUGCUAAUCUUUUUCAAUGAAUUCUUUCUCUGUGUCCUGAGACCCAGCCAACUCCUUGGAGGGUCAGGAAAGGCUUCCCAGAAGAGAUUUAUUUUGAGGCUUGAGCGUGAGCAGGAUUAACAGGUGAAAGAAGGGAGAGACAGUUCUCCAGGCGAGGGGGAUCAGCGCGCCCGGAAACAGGAAGAAGGUUGUCCAAGAAGGAGGCCAGUGCCCAGGGAAGGGAAGAGGGGAGGAAUGGCUGGAAUCUCGAUCCUCUGUGGAAAGAUCGCUCCGCCUGUUGCGUGGAGGAGGGACCAUGGAACAGAGAGCUGAGGGAGACCAGGGAGGAGGCUGCUGUUGUUGUCCCGGGGAGAGAUGACCUGUAUGGGGAUGGAGAGAGCAACAUGGAGUAAGAUACCAAGAAGGCAAUUCUGGCUUGACUUAGUAAUAGGAAAUUUCUCUUUUACCAAAGUCUCAUCCCUUGGCCCCCACCCAGCCUCUGCAUAUUGCACAAGUACUGCCAAACGCAGUGGUCCCAGCCCGCCCCACGGCUUAGCAAAUCUGACUUACUGCCCAACAGGAAACCCACCGCAGCCUUCUGGAUUCUUCCCCUUCCCUCCCUUUGUCCUGCUGUGACCUUCUCCUUGUUAUUCACAGGGUCUCAGCACGAUUCAUCUCAAAGGUGGUUCUCAGUGAGGGGUACUGUAGCUUCUACCGAGCGUUUUGAAGGGGGAAUGGGAAUGUUUUUGUUUGGAAAACUCUGCCCCUACCGCAAAAGCUCUCUCUCUCUUUCCCUCCCCCACAAAGAGGCUCCCUUAUCUCUCACUUUACAUACCGGCCAUAGCCCUCCCGCCGCCCAGCUUCCCGCCGCCCAGCUUCCCGCCCAGCAGUUCAAACUGACCAACAGUUGCCCACCACCUCGGCUUUUGGCUUCCCCACCCCCAGCCCUUCAGCCCCCUAUAAAACAACCCUGCCCCUCUGAGCAGCGCGGCCAUUUUUCCUUUUCGUCCCAGCUGGCCCGCCCGGAGGCUCUUUCCUCUCAAUAAAGCCUGAACUUAAGGAAUUUCCUCUAGCCUGCGGUCCGGUUUCUUUCCCAAUGAGCCCAGUCUUCCCGCAGAGGGUAGGUCGGACAAAUGGUGCCGGAAACCCGGGACGGGAGCUGAGGCUGUUGGCCCGGCCACGGCCCCCCUCCCCGACCUACCCAACACUGGCCCUGCCACCUCCACAUUCCGAUUAAGGCUGGAUUGAAGCUUACCCCACAGCCUCUGAGUCUGCCGGGACAGUAGCCACUCAUCUCAUUCAAGACAUCAUCCCACGCUUUGGACUCCCAGCUACCAUACAGUCAGACAACGGCCUAGCCUUUAUCUCCAAAGUCACUAAUGCCGUUUCUACCUCUCUAGGAAUUCAGUAGAAGCUACAUGCCGCCUACCAUCCCCAGUCCUCUGGUAAGGUAGAACAGGCCAAUGGCCUAAUAAAGGAGCAUCUGACCAAGCUCAUGCUUGAGCUCCGCCAAUCCUGGGUAACCUGACUUCCUAUCGCCCUCACCAGAGUAAGAGCAAGCCCCCGGGGCCCAUCACAGCUUAGCCCAUUUGAGCUGCUGUAUGGUUGCCCCUUCCUGCUUUCAACUCCCCCACCGCCAGAGACUACUCCUCUAGACAGCUACCUCCCCUACUUUACUCAGGAUUAGGAGGAGGGGCACUAGUCCACUCUCACCUGGCCAUAGCCCGACUGACCUCACAACUCCAAGCGGCUAUUGAUGACUCUACUGAGUCUUUAGCAUCAUUCCAACGACAGAUCACCUCAGUUGCCCAAGUUGCCUUGCAGAACCGAAGAGCCCUGGACCUGCUCACUGCUGAAUGAGGAGGGACCUGUAUCUUCCUACAGGAAGAGUGCUGUUACUACAUCAAUGAAUCCGGCCUAGUAGAAACCCGAAUCGAGAGCCUCCAGAAACUCAAAACUAACCUGCAGAGUCAGAAGUUCUCGGCUGAAGCCACAGCGUGGUGGUCUUCCUCUAUGUAUACCCUCUUGUCCCCAUUGCUUGGGCCCCUAGUAGCUGUUUGCCUAAUCUUACUUAUUGCUCCUUGCUUUCUACAGUUCCUAUAGCGGCGCUUUCAAGAACUGACUCGAGUCACCAUCCACCAGAUGCUGCUCCAACCCUACCCUGAACGAGUGCAAGAAACAGACCUCUCCCCGAACAUCCAGGCUCCUUAGGAAAAGAAACCUCUUCAGAACCCCCCCGUCGACCCUUGUCAGCAGGAAGUAGCCAGAGAGACAACCGACGCCCCUGACCCCCUCUUUUUCUUUUCUUUAAGGAGUCGGGAAUGUUUGGAAAACUCUGCCCCUACCGCAAAAGCUCUCUCUCUCUUUCCCUCCCCCACAAAGAGGCUCCCUUAUCUCUCACUUUACAUACCGGCCAUAGCCCUCCCGCCGCCCAGCUUCCCGCCGCCCAGCUUCCCGCCCAGCAGUUCAAACUGACCAACAGUUGCCCACCACCUCGGCUUUUGGCUUCCCCACCCCCAGCCCUUCAGCCCCCUAUAAAACAACCCUGCCCCUCUGAGCAGCGCGGCCAUUUUUCCUUUUCGUCCCAGCUGGCCCGCCCGGAGGCUCUUUCCUCUCAAUAAAGCCUGAACUUAAGGAAUUUCCUCUA